UACGUAGGGUGCAAGCGUUGUCCGGAAUUACUGGGCGUAAAGCGUGCGUAGACGGUGGCGUAAGUCGGGUGUGAAAGCCCCGGGCUCAACCUGGGAAUUGCAUUCGAGACUGCUCUGCUAGGGUGCGGAAGAGGGAAGCGGAAUUUCCGGUGUAGCGGUGAAAUGCGUAGAUAUCGGAAGGAACACCAGUGGCGAAAGCGGCUUCCUGGUCCAGCACCGACGUUCAGGCACGAAAGCGUGGGGAGCAAACAGG
rnacentral:rRNA from 1 species